AACUUUCGACAAUGGAUCUCUUGGCUCUCGCAUCGAUGAAGAACGCAGCGAAAUGCGAUAAGUAAUGUGAAUUGCAGCUUUUCAGUGAAUCAUCGAAUCUUUGAACGCACCUUGCGCCCUUUGGUAUUCCGAGGGGCAUGCCUGUUUGAGUGUCUUUAAAUUCUCAACUCCGAUUUGAUUUGUUUCUAAUCGGAGCUUGGACUUGGAGCGUGCUGGCGUCUAGUCGGCUCCUCUCAAAUGCAUCAGCGGAAUAUAACCUUUGGUUUCCGGACGUCGGUGUGAUAAUAAAGUUGCGCCGUCGUUCGACUUCAAAGUCCGCUUAUAAUGGUCUUCGGACGAACUCUUAUAUCAAAUUUGACCUCAAAUCAGGUAGGACUACCCGCUGAACUUAAGCAUAUCAUAAGCGGAGGCU
rnacentral:misc_RNA from 1 species